rnacentral:Y_RNA from 1 species
GGCUGGUUUAAGUGCAGUGGUUUAAUGGAUCACAACCUUUAUUCCUCUCCACUCCCACUGCUUCAUUGAGUAGCCUAAA